rnacentral:misc_RNA from 1 species
GAAAAUAGUACUGUGCAUACUCUUAUCAAACUUGAGGGUGCCAGCCAAUUUUGGUCGUAAUAAUCUGCAGAUGAUAGACUAAAGGCCUGUUGAAAACCCACUCCUCAUUAAAAAUAAAUUGAGAAGUUGUCUUGCAUAACUUAUUCAGAUCAAUUAAAAUAAUGAACAGUGUCAUGGUGUGUUUAUUGGACUCCAAAAGAAAUGUGGUGUCUUGGCUUUUGCUUUCCUGAAGGCUGUGGUUUUUGCUAGUCAUAUCUGACUUUCUUUGUUUGACAUCGUCAUUGCAGAUCAGAUGUUCUAG